rnacentral:rRNA from 2 species
GUUGUAUGGUUAAGUGACUAAGCGUACACGGUGGAUGCCUUGGCAGUUGGAGGCGAUGAAGGACGUACUAACUUGCGAUAAGCCUAGUCAAGCCAGUAAGAGGCGCUUGAGACUAGGAUUUCCGAAUGGGGAAACCCACCUGCUUGCAGGUAUCGUUAACUGAAUACAUAGGUUAACGAGGCGAACGCGGAGAACUGAAACAUCUAAGUACCCGUAGGAAAAGAAAUCAACCGAGAUUCCGAAAGUAGCGGCGAGCGAAAUCGGACCAGCCCUUAAGCUUUAGUGUAGUUAGUGGAACAUGCUGGAAAGCAUGACGAAACAGGGUGAUAGUCCCGUACACAAAAACUUAUCUAAAGUGAAAUCGAGUAGGUCGGAGCACGUGAAACUUUGACUGAAUAUGGGGGGACCAUCCUCCAAGGCUAAAUACUCCCAACUGACCGAUAGUGAACCAGUACCGUGAGGGAAAGGCGAAAAGAACCCCUGUGAGGGGAGUGAAAUAGAACCUGAAACCGUGUACGUACAAGCAGUAGGAGCCUACUUGUUGGGUGACUGCGUACCUUUUGUAUAAUGGGUCAGCGACUUAUAUUCUGUAGCGAGGUUAACCAUUUAGGGGAGCCGUAGCGAAAGCGAGUCUUAACUGGGCGCUUAAGUUGCAGGGUAUAGACCCGAAACCCGGUGAUCUAGCCAUGGGCAGGUUGAAGGUUGAGUAACAUCAACUGGAGGACCGAACCCACUAACGUUGAAAAGUUAGGGGAUGACCUGUGGCUAGGAGUGAAAGGCUAAUCAAACCGGGAGAUAGCUGGUUCUCCCCGAAAUCUAUUUAGGUAGAGCCUCGGACGAAUACUUACGGGGGUAGAGCACUGUUAAGGCUAGGGGGUCAUCCCGACUUACCAACCCUUUGCAAACUCCGAAUACCGUAAAGUAAUAUCCGGGAGACACACGGCGGGUGCUAACGUCCGUCGUGGAGAGGGAAACAACCCAGACCGUCAGCUAAGGUCCCAAAGUGUAUGUUAAGUGGGAAACGAUGUGGGAAGGCUAAAACAGCUAGGAGGUUGGCUUAGAAGCAGCCACCCUUUAAAGAAAGCGUAAUAGCUCACUAGUCGAGUCGGCCUGCGCGGAAGAUGUAACGGGGCUAAACAUACCACCGAAGCUACGGCUGCGUACGUAAGUAUGCGGGGUAGGGGAGCGUUCUGUAAGUGGCUGAAGGUGUGCCGGGAGGCAUGCUGGACAUAUCAGAAGUGCGAAUGCUGACAUGAGUAACGACAAGAGGAGUGAAAAACUCCUCCGCCGGAAGACCAAGGGUUCCUAUCCCAUGUUAAUCAGGGUAGGGUGAGUCGACCCCUAAGGCGAGGCUGAAGAGCGUAGUCGAUGGGAAACGGGUUAAUAUUCCCGUACUCGGUAUGAAUGCGAUGGGGGGACGGAGCAGGCUAGGCAAGCAUGGCGUUGGUUGUCCAUGUGAAAGGCUGUAGGCUGGUGACUUAGGAAAAUCCGGGUUGC